rnacentral:misc_RNA from 1 species
GAUGAAGAACGUAGCGAAAUGCGAUAAGUAGUGUGAAUUGCAGAAUUCAGUGAAUCAUCGAAUCUUUGAACGCACAUUGCGCCCCUUGGUAUUCCAUGGGGCAUGCCUGUUCGAGCGUCAUUUGUACCUUCAAGCUCUGCUUGGUGUUGGGUGUUUGUCUCGCCUCUGCGUGUAGACUCGCCUUAAAACAAUUGGCAGUCGGCGUAUUGAUUUCGGAGCGCAGUACAUCUCGCGCUUUGCACUCAUAACGACGACGUCCAAAAGUACAUUUUUACACUCUUGACCUCGGAUCAGGUAGGGAUACCCGCUGAACUUAAGCAUAUCAAUAAGCGGAGGA